AACGUAUAGAAGAUCAGUUAAUAUUUUCCUACCUGUCCCAAAAUUAAUAUCUUUUUCUUAAUUGCAUAUUAUCAUUGGCAACUUGCACGAGGCAUUAUUAUAUGAAUCGAUUUUUUCGUGUGAUGCGAUAAAAGAAGUAUCAUAUAGUGGAGACAGGAUUUGUUUGAUAAACUAAAUAUUUACGCGUUUCGCGAUUUAUAUUGACUUUUGAAGAACGUUAUUUGUAUGAGUGUGCGUAAAAGCAGUUGUCCUCAAUAAUUCUUUGUAUAAGAUCGUCGAUGAGAUAAUACGCAAUCUUCAAUGGAUCAAUAUAUCACAAUUUCGACCUAGAGCACCGACGAGUAUUUUUUCGUGCCAUCAUAAAACUUUUCAAGU